AAUCUUUUCUUCAAAGAAGCAUUCAGUGCAACAAUUGAACAUCAGUAUGAACUUCCAAGCUAUAAAAAGGGCUAAACCAGGUCAGAUGAGCAGAACAUGAGGGAAGUGAUGAUCUGCUGAGGGGCUUUGGCUGCCAAUGGAUGGAAUCGGAGGAUUCUGUGAGAAAAGAGUAGAAGAUCCAAUGGAACUGAUGGUCAUUAUGUUCCUUGAGAGUGUUAUGGCCAAACUGACACGGGAAGGUUUUUGCAUCAUGUUUUGGUUAAAACUUCUAUUCCCAUCGCAGGAAGGCGCUGGCUGACUCCACUUCCCGCCCCAAGGG